AGGUUACUGACUGCUUAUUGCACCACAUGUGUUUUUCUUUGAAACAAACUUGCUUUGGCGGUGGGCCCAGCCUGCCGCCAGAGGUCUAAACUUACAACCAAUUUUUUAUCAACUUGUCACACCAGAUUAUUACUAAUAGUCAAAACUUUCAACAACGGAUCUCUUGGUUCUCGCAUCGAUGAAGAACGCAGCGAAAUGCGAUACGUAAUAUGAAUUGCAGAUAUUCGUGAAUCAUCGAAUCUUUGAACGCACAUUGCGCCCUCUGGUAUUCCGGAGGGCAUGCCUGUUUGAGCGUCGUUUCUCCCUCAAACCGCUGGGUUUGGUGUUGAGCAAUACGACUUGGGUUUGCUUGAAAGACGGUAGUGGUAAGGCGGGAUCGCUUUGACAAUGGCUUAGGUCUAACCAAAAACAUUGCUUGCGGCGGUAACGUCCACCACGUAUAUCUUCAAACUUUGACCUCAAAUCAGGUAGGACUACCCGCUGAACUUAAGCAUAUCAAAAAGCGGGAGGAA
rnacentral:rRNA from 1 species